CAGGAUGAACGCUGGCGGCGUAGCCUAACACAUGCAAGUCGAACGGAGCUACUUGAAGGAGACUUCGGUCAACGGAAGGGUAAGCUUAGUGGCGGACGGGUGAGUAACGCGUGGAGAACCUGCCCUGUACCGGGGGAUAACAGAGGGAAGCUUCUGCUAAUACCGCAUAAGCGCACGGCACCGCAUGGUGCAGUGUGAAAAAACUCCGGUGGUACAGGAUGGCUCCGCGUUGGAUUAGCUUGUUGCGGGGCAACGGCCCACCAAGGCGACGAUCCCAUAGCCGGCCUGAGAGGGUGAACGGCCACAUUGGGACUGAGACACGGCCCAGACUCCUACGGGAGGCAGCAGUGGGGAAUAUUGCACAAUGGGGGGAACCCUGAUGCAGCCGACGCCGCGUGAAGGAAGAAGUAUCUCGGUAUGUAAACUUCUAUCAGCAGGGAAGACAAUGACGGUACCUGCGUAAGAAGCCCCGGCUAACUACGUGCCAGCAGCUGC
rnacentral:rRNA from 1 species